rnacentral:snRNA from 1 species
GUGUUAGUUCGCUAACACAUUUACUAAAGCGGGAGGAAUACAGAGAAGAUUAGCAUGGCCCCUGCGCAAGGAUGACACGCAAAUUUGUGAAGCGCUCCUCCGUUUU